UACAGUUGCGCCGUGCGUUACCCGGAAUCACUGGGCGUAAAGGGUGUGUAGGCGGCAUGAUUAGUCCGUUGUUAAAACUCGGGGCUUAACCUCGAGAUCGCGAUGGAAACGGUCACGCUGGAGGACGUGAGAGGUUGAGGGAACUCAAGGUGUAGGGGUGAAAUCCGUUGAUAUCUUGGGGAACACCAAAUGCGAAGGCACUUAACUGGCGCGUUCCUGACGCUCAAACACGAAAGCGUGGGUAGCGAACGGG
rnacentral:rRNA from 1 species